CAGGCUGUGAUGAUUGGCGCAGGGGUAUGGACCUCAGCUGAUUCAUGGGAACUGAGUGUAUGUGUUUCUCCUUUGUCCUGCAUGUGGCAGGCUGAUGGGGAGUCAUGAGUGGGGGUGCUUG
ensembl:snoRNA